rnacentral:rRNA from 1 species
CACGUAGGGGGCAAGCGUUUGUCCGGAUUUAUUGGGCGUAAAGAGCGUGUAGGCGGCCAGAUAGGUCCGUUGUGAAAACUCGAGGCUCAACCUCGAGACGCCGAUGGAAACCAUCUGGCUAGAGUCCGGAAGAGGAGAGUGGAAUUCCCGGUGUAGCGGUGAAAUGCGCAGAUAUCGGGAAGAACACCCGUGGCUAAGGCGGCUCUCUAGUACGGUACUGACGCUGAGACGCGAAAGCGUGGGGAGCGAACGAGG